AUGAACGCUAGCUACAGGCUUAACACAUGCAAGUCGAGGGGAAACGACAUCGAAAGCUUGCUUUUGAUGGGCGUCGACCGGCGCACGGGUGAGUAACGCGUAUCCAACCUGCCCAUCACUUGGGAAUAACCUUGCGAAAGUAAGACUAAUACCCAAUGAUAUCCCACGAAGACAUCUGAAUGGGAUUAAAGAUUUAUCGGUGAUGGAUGGGGAUGCGUCUGAUUAGCUUGUUGGCGGGGUAACGGCCCACCAAGGCAACGAUCAGUAGGGGUUCUGAGAGGAAGGUCCCCCACAUUGGAACUGAGACACGGUCCAAACUCCUACGGGAGGCAGCAGUGAGGAAUAUUGGUCAAUGGGCGAGAGCCUGAACCAGCCAAGUAGCGUGCAGGAUGACGGCCCUAUGGGUUGUAAACUGCUUUUAUAAGGGAAUAAAGUGGGUCUCGUGAGACUUUUUGCAUGUACCUUAUGAAUAAGGACCGGCUAAUUCCGUG
rnacentral:rRNA from 1 species